GAUGAACGCUGGCGGCGUGCCUAAUACAUGCAAGUCGAGCGAACAGACGAGGAGCUUGCUCCUCUGACGUUAGCGGCGGACGGGUGAGUAACACGUGGAUAACCUACCUAUAAGACUGGGAUAACUUCGGGAAACCGGAGCUAAUACCGGAUAAUAUAUUGAACCGCAUGGUUCAAUAGUGAAAGACGGUUUUGCUGUCACUUAUAGAUGGAUCCGCGCCGCAUUAGCUAGUUGGUAAGGUAACGGCUUACCAAGGCAACGAUGCGUAGCCGACCUGAGAGGGUGCGCGGCCACAUGGGAACGGAGCACGGGCCCAGACCCCCCGGGGGGGAGCCAGUGGGAAUCCUUCCGAAGGGGGGAAAGGCCGGAGGGAGCAAGCCGGGGGGGGGAAGAAUGGUUUCGGAACCAAAAAACGUUUUUAUGGGGAAAAAAAAAAUGUGAAAGAACAAAUCACGUUUUGGAGGGAACCUAACAAAAAGCCACGGGAAAACUCGGUC
rnacentral:rRNA from 1 species